rnacentral:tRNA from 1 species
UAGUUUUUAUAGUUGAGUUACAACAAUGGUUUUUCAGAUCAGAGGUCUUGGUUAAAGUCCGAGUAAGAAUG